rnacentral:rRNA from 1 species
AUGAACGCUAGCGGGAGGCCUCACCCAUGCCAGCCGCGCGGUAGAGUUUCUUCGGAAACUUGAGAGCGGCGCACGGGUGCGUAACACGUGUGCAACCUACCUUUAUCUGGGGGAUAGCCUUUCGAAAGGAAGAUUAAUACCCCAUAAUAUAAUGAUUGGCAUCAAUUAUUAUUGAAAACUCCGGUGGAUAGAGAUGGGCACGCGCAAGAUUAGAUAGUUGGUGAGGUAACGGCUCACCAAGUCAAUGAUCUUUAGGGGUCCUGAGAGGGAGAUCCCCCACACUGGUACUGAGACACGGACCAGACUCCUACGGGAGGCAGCAGUGAGGAAUAUUGGACAAUGGGUGAGAGCCUGAUCCAGCCAUCCCGCGUGAAGGAUGACGGUCCUAUGGAUUGUAAACUUCUUUUGUACAGGGAUAAACCUACCCUCGUGAGGGUAGCUGAAGGUACUGUACGAAUAAGCACCGGCUAACUCCGUG